CACACAUGAUGUUAUUCUAUAUUUGCUACUUCGGACGGGUCUUCGACCCGAAUGAGACAUAUUAUAUCACCAAGAUCUCUGAUGUU
rnacentral:snoRNA from 1 species